rnacentral:rRNA from 1 species
GAUGAACGCUGGCGGUAUGCUUAACACAUGCAAGUCGAACGGACUCUUCGGAGUUAGUGGCGGACGGGUGAGUAACGCGUGAGAAUCUGGCUUUGGGUUCGGGACAACCACUGGAAACGGUGGCUAAUACCGGAUGUGCCGAGAGGUAAAAGAGAAAUUGCCUGAAGAUGAGCUCGCGUCUGAUUAGCUAGUUGGUGAGGUAAAGGCUCACCAAGUCAGCGAUCAGUAGCUGGUCUGAGAGGAUGACCAGCCACACUGGGACUGAGACACGGAGCAGACUCCUACGGGAGGCAGCAGUGGGGAAUUUUCCGCAAUGGGCGAAAGGCUGACGGAGCAAUACCGCGUGAGGGAAGAAGGCUCUUGGGUUGUAAACCUCUUUUCUUAGGGAAGAACAAAAUGACGGUACCUAAGGAAUCAGCAUCGGCUAACUCCGUG